rnacentral:rRNA from 1 species
UACGUAGGGUGCGAGCGUUAAUCGGAAUUACUGGGCGUAAAGGGCUCGUAGGUGGCCAACUAAGUCGGACGUGAAAUCCCUCGGCUUAACCGGGGAACUGCAUCUGAUACUGGAUGGCUUGAGUUCGGGAGAGGGAUGCGGAAUUCCAGGUGUAGCGGUGAAAUGCGUAGAUAUCUGGAGGAACACCGGUGGCGAAGGCGGCAUCCUGGACCGACACUGACGCUGAGGAGCGAAAGCCAGGGGAGCAAACGGG